rnacentral:rRNA from 1 species
AACGAACGCUGGCGGCAGGCUUAACACAUGCAAGUCGAGCGCCCCGCAAGGGGAGCGGCAGACGGGUGAGUAACGCGUGGGAAUCUACCCAUCUCUACGGAAUAACGCAUGGAAACGUGUGCUAAUACCGUAUACGUCCUUCGGGAGAAAGAUUUAUCGGAGAUGGAUGAGCCCUCGUUGGAUUAGCUAGUUGGUGGGGUAAAGGCCUACCAAGGCGACGAUCCAUAGCUGGUCUGAGAGGAUGAUCAGCCACACUGGGACUUAGACACGGCCCAGACUCCUACGGGAGGCAGCAGUGGGGAAUAUUGGACAAUGGGCGCAAGCCUGAUCCAGCCAUGCCGCGUGAGUGAUGAAGGCCCUAGGGUUGUAAAGCUCUUUCACCGGUGAAGAUAAUGGCGGUAACCGGAGAAGAAGCCCCGGCUAACUUCGUGUCAGCCGCCGCCGUAACAC